rnacentral:rRNA from 1 species
AGGAAAGUGAAUAUUGUGGGUUAGUAGUUAAAUUAUUUAAUUCUUUAAAUUUAAUAUUUUUAGGUGAAAUUUUAAUAUUAUUUUAAUAGUUUUUAUUGAAGCUGCGAAAUUUAUAAGAAAAACAAGGAUUAGAUACCCUUUUAUUUUAAAUGUGAAUAUUAACCUGGGUAGUAAUAGUUAUGUUCUUGAAACCCAAAGAAUUUGGCGGUAUUUUAUUCUUUUUAGAGGAACCUGUCCUGUAAUUGACAGUCCACGAUAGGUAAUUACUUGUUUUUGUUUUCAUUUUGUAUACCUCCGUCAUCAGAGUAUCUUUUUAGAGUAAAUAUUCAAAUAAUACAAAAUAUAAUAUGUCAGGUCAAGGUGCAAUUUAUGAACAAGUAGAGAUGGGUUACAAUAAAUUUAUUUAUGCGAAUUGGUAUUGUUAUAUUUAUCAUGAAGAUGGAUUUAAAAGUAAAAUUAAUCCUUUAUUAAUUNGAUUUUAGCUCUAAAAUAUGCACACAUCGCCCGUCGCUCUUAUUUUAAAAUAAGAUAAGUCGUAACAUAGUAGGGGUACCGGAAGGUGUCCCUAGAAAGUA